rnacentral:rRNA from 1 species
GACGUAGGGCGCGAGCGUUGUCCGGAUUUAUUGGGCGUAACGAGCUCGUAGGCGGCUUGUUGCGUCGACUGUGAAAACCUGCGGCUCAACCGUGUGGUCUGCAGUCGAUACGGGCAGGCUGGAGUUCGGUAGGGGAGACUGGAAUUCCUGGUGUAGCGGUGAAGUGCGCAGAUAUCAGGAGGAACACCGGUGGCGAAGGCGGGUCUCUGGGCCGAUACUGACGCUGAGGAGCGAAAGCGUGGGGAGCGAACAGG